rnacentral:rRNA from 1 species
UACGUAGGGGGCAAGCGUUGUCCGGAUUCAUUGGGCGUAAAGAGCGUGUAGGCGGCCAGGUAGGUCGGUUGUGAAAACUGGAGGCUCAACCUUCAGAGGUCGACCGAAACCAUCUGGCUAGAGUCCGGGAGAGGAGAGUGGAAUUCCUGGUGUAGCGGUGAAAUGCGCAGAUAUCAGGAAGAACACCCGUGGCGAAAGCGGCUCUCUGGGAACGGUACUGACGCUGAGACGCGAAAGCGUGGGGGAGCGAACAGG